rnacentral:rRNA from 1 species
CAGCCGUAGACUAUGCUCGCUAGGUGUCAGGCAUGGCGCGACCGUGUCUGGUGCCGCAGGGAAGCCGUGAAGCGAGCCACCUGGGAAGUACGGCCGCAAGGCUGAAACUUAAAGGAAUUGGCGGGGGAGCACAACAACGGGUGGAGCCUGCGGUUUAAUUGGACUCAACGCCGGACGACUCACCGGGGACGACAGCAAUAUGUAGGCCAGGCUGAAGACCUUGCCUGAAUCGCUGAGAGGAGGUGCAUGGCGUAGACGUCU